UACGGAGGGUGCAAGCGUUGUCCGGAUUUAUUGGGCGUAAAGAGCUCGUAGGCGGUUUGUCGCGUCUGCCGUGAAAGUCCGGGGCUCAACUCCGGAUCUGCGGUGGGUACGGGCAGACUAGAGUGAUGUAGGGGAGACUGGAAUUCCUGGUGUAGCGGUGAAAUGCGCAGAUAUCAGGAGGAACACCGAUGGCGAAGGCAGGUCUCUGGGCUGUAACUGACGCUGAGGAGCGAAAGCAUGGGGAGCGAACAGG
rnacentral:rRNA from 1 species